UACGGGGGGGGGCAAGCGUUGUUCGGAAUUACUGGGCGUAAAGAGCGCGCAGGCGGUCGAUCAAGUCGAGUGUGAAAGCCCCCGGCUCAACUGGGGAGGGUCAUUCGAUACUGAUCGACUCGAAGGCAGGAGAGGGUAGUGGAAUUCCCGGUGUAGUGGUGAAAUGCGUAGAUAUCGGGAGGAACACCAGUGGCGAAGGCGACUACCUGGCCUGUUCUUGAC
rnacentral:rRNA from 1 species